AUGGGGCUUCUCGGACUGACCAGGACGGGGGUGUACAUGACAGUCUGCCUUCUGUGGAUGACUGGAUGCUUUACCCAAAAAGUUUACUUUGAUUGUGGUGCCAAGGUGGAUGUUGUGGAUAUGCAGGGCCUCAUUCUGUCACCUGGCUUCCCAUAUAACUAUUCAUCUGGAACUCACUGUGUUUGGCAGUUCUUUGUGCCUGUUGGUCACCAGCUAAUUAUGGAGAUGUUUGAUUUUGAUGUCUUUGAGAGUCACAACAGUCCUGCAAGGUAUACCACCACAUCUGCUGCCAUUGUGGAUGAGGAACCAAAUGAUGGUGACUCGCUGGUAUCAAAAAGCCUCGGGAGUCUAAAGGAACCCCAGUCCACACACAGAGAGGAUGUCAAGCAAGUGGUGAUCCAAGAGCAGUCCACCAAAAUGGAGAUGACCAAAGUUUCCAAUUCUGCCAAAAUGCUUUCUGAUUCCCCCUCAGCUCCACAAGCAUCUCUUCCAGUUGAAAACAGAAAUUCUAUUUCAUCUCAGGCAUCAAGAGCAGCCAGUGACUUUAUCUCUACAAGCCCACAUACAGCCACAGAAACAGAUGACGCAUUGAGCACUGAGACCCAGUCAACUUUGAUUGAUGCCUGUCCCCAUGAUGUCCUCUACAUAUCUGAUCUCAUCACCUUCUCCUCCCGAUUCUGUGGCUCUAGACGCCCUUCUAGCAGCCAGUUGGUGUUUGGGUCUGAUGAUGACAUGGUGGAAGUCAUUAUGGAGUUGAUUACCACUACUCACUGGGGCCGUGGUUUUGCUCUCCUCUUCCAUUAUCAGAAUCAAACACAGGCAGCCACAAGCGAACGACAGCGAUCGCUCGUGCCCUCAGACAGCAGAACUGGUGCACUGCUCGGUGCUGUAAGUGGAACAGUUGUGUUUGCUUUGGCCCUUGCUGGCAUCCUCUGUGUGAUUUUCAGGCCAAAACUAUGUGCAAAAGGUGCCAAUGCUUCCUCUUCCAUCAGCUCAGAGGUUCCAGAAGGAGUGCUAAAUUCAGCGGCAGAUGUGAGUGAACUUCAGAUGGUUUCUCCUAAUCACUUGGAGCAGCAGUCGGGUACAGUGAACGACAACAACAACCAUUCCCUCAACCGCAGUCUGUCCCAUACAGGGUCUUCCGUGAAUGGAGUAUGUGACGUGUCAGAGAAGGCCGCUCUAGAGCAGUUCUCCAGUGGUUUGACUGAAUUAGAAUUAGGCACAGAUGAGGUUUUUGUCAUCGCCUCUGCACCCAACUCAGCCCAACUGCCUUUCUCCCCACAUACUCAACGAGACCGUUUCCUGAGACACAGUGACACGGGAUCCAGCCGCCCCUUUGACUGGUCGACUCCAGACCAAGCGCUGCCUUCUGUGACAAAGAGCAGCCAUGCCGGGUCCACAAACAGUGCACGACCACGAGCAUGGAGCGUCCGAACCUUCCAGGAUCUCCUUCCACCUCUUCCUCAACUCCAUAAGAAAUGGUGCAGCUGGAACUCAACCAGCCCAUUCACAAAGCUGGUGGACAGUGGACUCACAAGCACAUCUACAGACACUAGAAGGGGAAAGGUCCUAUCUGAUGCUCCUCUUCAUAGUCCCGCCAACAGCUGCCAGUCCGACUCCUUCAUGAGUAACGCCUCGUACCCCCUGACUCAACCCGCCCAGUGCCAGCGACGUCUCAACUCCACCAGCAACCUCAGACGCGCACGUUUCAACACUCCAUGCUUUGGCCUGCUGUCUGGCACAUCUGAGUCCUCCAAACCACAAGUAAAUGGAAUUACAACCUCAAAUACGUUCUCCGACACCAGCGGUGCCCCAUCAAGCCAGCUGCAGGUCAAAGGUCAAGUAUCAAGGAUUGAGGAUGACCACAUCACAGUACCAGUGUUUGCAAUCUCAGAAGAGGAAGACCAACAGCCUCUUGUGUCAGCAGAACAUCCCGAGAAGCCUUUGAGAAUGAAUGAACAGAUGUUAGAAGGCACAAAGAUGCCACUGCUAUCGAAAAGCCAAGUUCCCAGCAUCCAACCAAUCUCUUUAUCGAGGGGAGGCCGUGGAGGUGCAUUGAAGACGCAGGAUCCUUCAGCUCUCUCUUGUUAACAGUGACCCCAGAAAUAAAGUCUGCCAGUGCCAUGAAGUUUAAGAAAUG
ensembl:lncRNA